rnacentral:rRNA from 1 species
UACGUAGGGUGCGAGCGUUGUCCGGAAUUAUUGGGCGUAAAGAGCUCGUAGGCGGUGUGUCACGUCGGCCGUGAAAACCUGCAGCUUAACUGUGGGCGUGCGGUCGAUACGGGCAUCACUGGAGUUCGGCAGGGGAGACUGGAAUUCCUGGUGUAGCGGUGAAAUGCGCAGAUAUCAGGAGGAACACCUGCGGCGAAGGCGGGUUGCUGGGCCGACACUGACGCUGAGGCGCGAAAGCCAGGGGAGCGAACGGG